UACAGAGGGUGCAAGCGUUAAUCGGAAUUACUGGCCGUAAAGCGCGCGUAGGUGGCUUGAUAAGCCGGUUGUGAAAGCCCCGGGCUCACCCUGGGAGCGGCAUCCGGAACUGUCAAGCUAGAGUGGAGGAGAGGAAGGUAGAAUUCCCGGUGUAGCGGUGAAAUGCGUAGAGAUCGGGAGGAAUACCAGUGGCGAAGGCGGCCUGCUGGACUGACACUGACACUGAGGUGCGAAAGCGUGGGUAGCAAACAGG
rnacentral:misc_RNA from 1 species